UACAGAGGCCUCAAGCGUUAGGCGGAAUUACUGGGCGUAAAGCGUGCGCAGGCGGUUCGUUAAGUCAGAUGUGAAAGCCCCGGGCUCAACCUGGGAACUGCAUUUGAAACUGGCGGGCUUGAGUGUGGCAGAGGGGGGUGGAAUUCCGCGUGUAGCAGUGAAAUGCGUAGAGAUGCGGAGGAACACCGAUGGCGAAGGCAGCCCCCUGGGCCAACACUGACGCUCAGGCACGAAAGCGUGGGGAGCAAACAGG
rnacentral:rRNA from 1 species